rnacentral:lncRNA from 1 species
GUGUUACUGAAUAUAGGAAUAGCUACAUUGAUUAAAUGAGAAAAAAACUGGUUAGGUCACAACUAGGAGUCAUAGGAAGACAGAAUUUCAGAAAUUCAUACCAUACCAGACAGAUGUGUUUUAUUAAAAAAGAAAGAAAACCCUUUAAUCAGAAAGUCUGAUUAAAUUCAAUAGUAACUCAAACUCUUAAAAAAUUUCUGGAAAAGUCAACAGGAUACAUACAUCACAGAAAAGCAGGCAGCUGCUGACAGUUCUUUGGUGGAAAAGUAAGUUGCGUACUUACCCAAGCUGCCCAAAUGAUUAUCAAGCCAAGUUUGUUUUUCAAAAAUAGGUUUUAAGAUACACCAAAGAAACUAUACAAUACAAAAAUUUAACAAUGAAGUUAAAGUAUAUAGCAAAAGCCAAAUAUGACAACACACAUGUAUAAUGUAGAAAAGAAUCCUUUCAGUCCUAGAAAACUAAAAUGGGGAGAACUUACUGAAGGGUAACAUACAUAAAAUGAGUACUAAUAGCAAGGAAUAAUCCUAAACAUUUUCCCAAUAAACUGACUAAGCCUCAAAAGGACAGCUUAGGAAAAUGAUUAACAUGCAGUUUUUCUUUUUUCCUAGCCAAUUCAGUUCUACUUAGAUAAAUCUGGUUGCCAAUCAAUACAUAUAUAAAUUAAUUUUUUUCUGCUCAAUUACUACCAUUUUUUCUUUUUCACCUUUUCCCUAAUUUUCUCUAGCAACACUUUUCCUUUGGUUUGAUCAGUUGAACUCAAAAGGUUUGGUACCUAAAAUGAGUAUCAACUGUUAUUGCAAUAGCACUUGGGAAAUGCAAUCCUAGAAAAGGCGAAUGUGUAACUGAGGUGCUUGACAAAGUGAAGCAUCCAUCCUCCAUAUGGUAAUGUCUCCCAUAUUAAUCACUAGGUUAAUGGCUGCUCCUGGCUAGAUCACAGGACCCUGCAUGAUACUGGAAUGCUCCCUGGUGAGGUACUGCAGAGUUACAGGAUCGUGAACUCUAUUUAUUCCCACAUCAAUGACUGCUGCUCCUUCCUUGAUCAUAUCUGCUGUGAUCAGAUUUGGAAUACCUGGAAAUGGAGAAAGGAAAGAUCAACUUAGUACUGAAAACAGUCUACCUGUCAGAUUCUUGUCUAACUUCAAUUUCAAGAGACCCUGAAGAACUAAUCAACAUGUUUUAUUAAAACCUGUUAAAAAUAU